rnacentral:rRNA from 1 species
GACGAACGCUGGCGGCGUGCUUAACACAUGCAAGUCGAACGGUAAGGCCCUUCGGGGUACACGAGUGGCGAACGGGUGAGUAACACGUGGGUGAUCUGCCCUGCACUUCGGGAUAAGCCUGGGAAACUGGGUCUAAUACGGGAUAGGACCCGGGGAUGCAUGUCCUGGGGGGGAAAGCUUUUGCGGUGUGGGAUGGGCCCGCGGCCUAUCAGCUUGUUGGUGGGGUGAUGGCCUACCAAGGCGACGACGGGUAGCCGGCCUGAGAGGGUGACCGGCCACACUGGGACUGAGAUACGGCCCAGACUCCUACGGGAGGCAGCAGUGGGGAAUAUUGCACAAUGGGCGCAAGCCUGAUGCAGCGACGCCGCGUGAGGGAUGACGGCCUUCGGGUUGUAACCUCUUUCAGCACCGACGAAGCGCAAGUGACGGUAGGUGCAGAAGAAGGACCGGCCAACUACGUGCCAGCCGCCGCAGUAA